rnacentral:rRNA from 1 species
GUGGGGAAUAUUGGACAAUGGGGGCAACCCUGAUCCAGCAAUGCCGCGUGGGUGAAGAAGGCCUUCGGGUUGUAAAGCCCUUUUGUACGGGAAGAAAAGCUUCGGAUUAAUACUUCGAGGUCAUGACGGUACCGUAAGAAUAAGCACCGGCUAACUUCGUGCCAGCAGCCGCGGUAAUACGAAGGGUGCAAGCGUUAAUCGGAAUUACUGGGCGUAAAGCGUGCGUAGGUGGUUUGUUAAGUCUGAUGUGAAAGCCCUGGGCUCAACCUGGGAAUGGCAUUGGAUACUGGCUUACUAGAGUGCGGUAGAGGGAUGCGGAAUUUCCGGUGUAGCGGUGAAAUGCGUAGAGAUCGGAAGGAACAUCUGUGGCGAAGGCGGCAUCCUGGACCAGCACUGACACUGAGGCACGAAAGCGUGGGGAGCAAACAGGAUUAGAUACCCGGGUAGUCC